AACUGCUCCGGUGGCCUAGUGGUUAGAGCGUCUGCCUCGGAUGUGGGAGGUAGUGGGUUCAAUCCUCGGUCGAGUUA